AUGCUGAUUUGCUGCUCAAGAAACAUUUCUGAUUAUUAUCAAUAUUUAAAUGCUCUACUGUGCUUUAUGGACUUGGUUAGCCAGUUGGCUCGCCACAAUGCAAAUCUGUGCUUGAAACAAAAAACACCCUGGAGCCUUACAGAAGGAAGCCCUCAUGUCUUACAUCUGACGCUGCAUCACUAGCCCGAGCGUUCAAUCACAUGUGUAUUUACUCUCUACUCUGACUCUAAACUAAAGGAAGACGGCAAGCUGGCAUCUGUGAGCCGCUUCUCCUAGACAGCAGUGAGAGACUUCUCAACUCGUCUUCUGAGAAAAUAAGAACUGCCUUUUCAGAUGACAUCUCAAGCACAAUUUCCCAGACCAAACUGAGAUUUAGAAGAAACGUCUGAAACAAAGGAGAAGUUCACCCAAAAAAGAAAAUUUGCUAAAUAUGUCCUCACCCAGAUGAGUUUGUUUCUUCAUCAGGUUUGGAGAAAUGCAGCAUUGCAUCAGUGUCUCAGAAGUGAAUGGGUGCCAUCAGAAUGAGAGUCCAAACAGCUGAUAAAAACAUCACAAUAAUCCACACCACUCCAGUCCAUCAGUUAACAUCUGGAGAAGACAAAAGCUGAAACAAAUCCAGCAUUAAGAUGUUUUUAACUAACAUACGAAUGCAUAAUCCAUAAUAACACUUCCUCCAGUGAAAAAGUGUUCUGGUGUGAAUCAGGAGAGAAAUCUGCACAGAUCAAGCAGCGUUUAAACAGCUCUAAACAAAUAUGUGACUGGAUUUUGAUGUGAGAGACAACAGGAGAUGCACUUUUUCACUGGAGGAAGUUAUAUUAUACAUUUACAUUUAGUAAUUUAGCAGAUGCUUUUAUGCAAAGCGACCAAUAAAAAUUGCAAGAAUAUGCAAGCGCUAUGAGAAAUCUGAAUUAUGGACUCAUAUUUUAGCCAGAAGCAAAGGUUUAAAGUAAAAACAUCAUAAUGCUGGAUUUGUUUUAUCUUUUGUCUUCUCCAGAUGUUCACUGAUGGACUGGAGUGCUGUGGAUUAUUGUGAUGUUUUUAUCAGCUGUUUGGACUCUCAUUCUGACGGCACCCAUUCACUGCAGAGCAUCCAUUGCUGAGACACUGAUGCAAUGCUACAGUUCUACAAACCUGAUGAAGAAACAAACUACAUCUACAUCGUGGAUGACCUGAGGGUGAGGACAUUUUCAACAAAUUUUCUUUUUUGGAUGAACUUCUACUCUAAAUGAAUAACAUUAAAACCAGAAUGUCAAGCAAACAGUUUUGAGGUAAGAACCGAUUCUCUGUUUUCACUAAAACAGUGUAGGUGGUUGUACUAGUUACAUCAUGUUGAAGGUUUUCUUGGCUCACCGGCCUUCAUCUAUCUGGACCUUUAUUUAGACUCUACCUGCUUCGUGUUAUGUUUGUGCAAUCUAGUCCCUCAUUGGUUAUAUAAGCCACCCAACGGAAGGAGAAAAAAAUGCAUGGAAAUAAAAAGAAGCAAAGAUUAUGGAGAUCUUUUUAAUUUGUUCCUUUAGGAACCAUUUCUCAGCAGAAUACUGUCAGAUUUCAUUACAUGUGAGUUGGAAAUACCCUUUGAAAGUGUAAACAACAAGAUGCCUCUCUAAUAGUUUGAAGCUCACCUGCCAUCCUAGAAGCAGAUCGAGCCGGCUGACACACACACACACACACACACACACACACACACCGCUGCAGUCCAAAGCUUAAUCCUAUUAAAGCGGAACUAGGUAUUACUGAGAUCUAAAACCAACCCGCCCUCACAAAGCUGCUAACAAAUGAAGACUAACAUCAAGAAACACCUCCAAAGCCUUCUGGACAAAAGAUUAAAGUCAAAGAUUUUUAAUAAAAUACAGCUGGAGCACUGCCUGUGGGAUAAACAGCUGCAUAUGCAUUAGAUAAGAAAUACUGAGAUUUGCUGCACUGAAAGUUUUAGCACUUCGUACAUUUUCA
ensembl:lncRNA